rnacentral:rRNA from 1 species
AACGAACGCUGGCGGCAGGCUUAACACAUGCAAGUCGAGCGCCUCGCAAGAGGAGCGGCAGACGGGUGAGUAACGCGUGGGAAUCUACCCAUCUCUACGGAAUAACUCAGGGAAACUUGUGCUAAUACCGUAUAAGCCCUUAGGGGGAAAGAUUUAUCGGAGAUGGAUGAGCCCGCGUUGGAUUAGCUAGUUGGUGGGGUAAAGGCCUACCAAGGCGACGAUCCAUAGCUGGUCUGAGAGGAUGAUCAGCCACACUGGGACUGAGACACGGCCCAGACUCCUACGGGAGGCAGCAGUGGGGAAUAUUGGACAAUGGGGGCAACCCUGAUCCAGCCAUGCCGCGUGAGUGAUGAAGGCCUUAGGGUUGUAAAGCUCUUUUACCCGGGACGAUAAUGACUGUACCGGGAGAAUAAGCCCCGGCUAACUUCGUGCCAGCCGCCGCCGUAA